UACGAAGGGGGCGAGCGUUGUUCGGAUUUACUGGGCGUAAAGGGCGCGCAGGCGGCUUUGUUUGUCAGAUGUGAAAUUCCCGGGCUUAACCUGGGGGCUGCAUUUGAUACGUCUAGGCUUGAGUGAGGAAGAGGGUUGUGGAAUUCCCAGUGUAGAGGUGAAAUUCGUAGAUAUUGGGAAGAACACCGGUGGCGAAGGCGGCAACCUGGUCCUUUACUGACGCUGAGGCGCGAAAGCGUGGGGAGCAAACAGG
rnacentral:rRNA from 1 species